UGAUGAGACAGUUCGGUCUAUAUCAAGAGCCUGAGAUUCCAGAUAUUCCACACUUGCCAGACCACGUGCACAAGGACAGUCGCCUAGGAGGAAACAAGUCGAUGGAUUACUGGCUUAAGAGCAUUACCCCUUACGUUGACGAAUGGACUACCGCUGCGACAAAUAUCUGGGGUGAGGUUCGGGCCUUUAACUGGGAAAUGUUCGGGUUGUAUCUGCAGCGUUACCGGCAUACAACGAGGAUCUACUUGGUUCCAUCAGCUGCUACUGAUCAGAUCGAAGCCCCUCUCACCAGCGAUAUGUACCCAACUGCCUCUGUUGUGGGAACCAGACACCACGCGGGUGACUUGACAGUACAAGCGCGAGAGGAGGUUUCCGCUUUAAUGCGGCGCUAUCAGAGGGGAGAAACUAUCCCACCGCGAGAGGGCGUCUCAUAGUUGAGGCGUCUUGAUGACAAGCUACGCGGGAUUUACGCAG